AGCUCUGUAAGCGUAUACCAAAGUUGUUGCAGUUAAAACGCUCGUAGUCGGACGUUGGCGGGCGUCGCGGGGCGUCUUCACGGAUGUUCUUGCGGCGGCCGCCUUUGUGGAUGGGGGCUCGGUGGUGCUUCACUGCCUCGCCGAGUCGCUGCCACCGUUUACUGUGAAAAAAUUAGAGUGUUCAAAGCAAGCGUUUGCCCUGAAUACAUUAGCAUGGAAUAAUAGAAUAGGACCUGGUCCUUUUUUGUUGGUUUGUGAGUAUCAGGUAAUGAUUAAGAGGGACGGUUGGGGGCAUUUGUAUUCCGGCGUCAGAGGUGAAAUUCUUGGAUUGCCGGAAGACAAACAGCUGCGAAAGCGUCUGCCAAGGACGUUUUCA
rnacentral:rRNA from 1 species